rnacentral:rRNA from 1 species
UACGUAGGGUGCGAGCGUUGUCCGGAUUUAUUGGGCGUAAAGAGCUCGUAGGUGGUUUGUUGCGUCGGAAGUGAAAACACAGGGCUUAACUUUGUGCUUGCUUUCGAUACGGGCAGACUUGAGGAAGGUAGGGGAGAACGGAAUUCCUGGUGGAGCGGUGGAAUGCGCAGAUAUCAGGAGGAACACCAGUGGCGAAGGCGGUUCUCUGGACCUUUCCUGACGCUGAGGAGCGAAAGCGUGGGGAGCAAACAGG